GACGAACGCUGGCGGCGUGCCUAAUACAUGCAAGUUGAGCGCUGAAGGUUGGUACUUGUACCAACUGGAUGAGCAGCGAACGGGUGAGUAACGCGUGGGGAAUCUGCCUUUGAGCGGGGGACAACAUUUGGAAACGAAUGCUAAUACCGCAUAAAAACUUUAAACACAAGUUUUAAGUUUGAAAGAUGCAAUUGCAUCAUUAAAAGAUGAUCCCGCGUUGUAUUAGCUAGUUGGUGAGGUAAAGGCUCACCAAGGCGAUGAUACAUAGCCGACCUGAGAGGGUGAUCGGCCAAAUUGGGACUGAGACACGGCCCAAACUCCUACGGGAGGCAGCAGUAGGGAAUCUUCGGCAAUGGAGGAAAGUCUGACCGAGCAACGCCGCGUGAGUGAAGAAGGUUUUCGGAUCGUAAAACUCUGUUGGUAGAGAAGAACGUUGGUGAGGGUGGAAAGCUCAUCAAGUGACGGUAACUACCCAGAAAGGGACGGCUAACUACGUG
rnacentral:rRNA from 1 species